GUGAAUCAUCAAAUCUUUGAACGCAAAUUGCACUCUCUUCGGAGAGUAUGCCUGUUUGAGGGUCAGUAUUAACAAAAAAAUCGGGUUGGUUGCAAAUUGUGACGUUUCCGGAGUUUGGGCUAUCUUAACUUUUUUGGUUAAGGGGCUUAAAAUUGACCUUUUUUGCGCAUUUUUAGACUUAGCUAAAGUUUUGUUUUUAUUCUGCUAUUCUUAAUGCC
rnacentral:misc_RNA from 1 species